AUGAAGCAGCGGCGACAACUACGACCCACACGAGAAAGGCGCUCACACCGGGGGCCGGAGUCAACGCUGGUCGUGUCCGCAAGGCCGGGAAGUUGCGCCGCCGGCGGUGGCGCACACUUGGCCGCUUCAUAUGGACUUGUAAUCGACACGGAGAAAAGCAGCGAGAGGGGACCUCAAGGCCAUCGGGAGAUUACCCCGGGAGGAACCGAGCCAAGAGGAGACGCGCAUGUGGUGGCUGCGUCGAGGACGGGACGACGCGUCGGCGGCAGCGCGCACGGCGAUCCCACAUAUGCAUGGAGGCCAACACACGCCCCGUUGGAGAUGCUCCCACAGUGGAGGCGGCGAGGAGAUCGUGAGGAUGUGCCCAUGGCACAGGCAUGCUCGCCGAGCAGCCCGUACAACCUGGUCGUCCGCGGCUGCAGAUACACGAAGGAGCCCACACAACAAGCCCUAGCACUCAAGGCGGCCGCGGGCGCCACCCAUGGUGCCUUCUUUGAUCGGCUUUUAUCCAUCUACACCACCACAAGGCUGGUGGCGUGUAGCACGACACCAACUCCACCUCAGAGCCUCAAGCCCGGCGCUAUCUCCACCAUGCCGGUGUGCGACCCGGCUCCAUCACCAUCGCCACGACAACAUCGGAGCUGCCGGCCUCAAGCCCGGCGCGCUAUCUCCAUCAUGCCAGCGUGCAUCCCGGCUCCAUCACCAUCGCCACAACAACGUCGGAGCUGCCGGCCUCAAGCCCGGCGCUAUCUCCACCAUGCUGGCGUGCGUCCCGGCUUCAUCACCAUCUCCACGACAAUGUCGGAGCUGCCGACCUGCAGCCCGGAGUCACCUCCACCGCACCGGCGUGUGGCCCAGCGCCAUCUACACCACCACAACAACGACGGAGCUGCCGACCAGCAGCCCGGAGUCAUCUCCACCGUGCCGGCGCGUGGCCCGGCGCUAUCUACGACACCGCGACAACGACGAAGAUGCCGGCUUACAGCCCGGCGCCAUCUCCACCAUCCCGGCGUGCGGCCCGGAGCCAUCUAUACCACCACAAUGACAUCGAAGCUGCUGGCUUACAGCCCGACGCCAUCUUCACCAUGCCGGCGUGCGGCCCGGAGCGAUCUACACCACCAUGAGUCCAUGACAGCGGCGAGGCUGCCGGAGAGUUGCCGGCGAGUAUCACGGCGCCAACUCCACCUCAGCGGCGACAUCGGAAAGGCCGGCGGCAUCCGGCCCAACACCAUCUACACCACCACAACGGCGGCAAGGCCGCCGGUGAGUAGCAUGGCGCCAACUCCACCUCGGCGGCGACAUCGGAGAGGCCGGCGGUAUCUGGCUCGGUGCCAUCUCCAUCCUACCGGCAUUUGGUCCAACACCAUCUACGACACCACCACGACAUCGAAGCUGCCGACCUAUAGCCUGGCGCGGUCUUCCCCAUUUCAAGUUAAGGGCAGUGAUACAUCGCGCCCAAGAACUGGGCGUGCAUCUGAAUCACGAUCGAGAUGGAUGGAUAAUCAGCGCUCACCUGUGUGCAAACGAAGAAGACGGAGGAGGAGCUGCUCACCGUCUUCACAUCUUCAUCAACCUCGCCAAUGUCGUCAACACCAAUCCCGGGCUCGACGAGGCAGGCUUCUACAUCAACCUGACUUCGCCAUCUUCAUCAACUUCUUUCCCGGCGAGGGCACCGACUGCCUCGACACGCCACCCGGCUACGUCAACAGGGCGUCGCCAACUUCAGCAGCUCUACAUCUGACGAGGAUGUUGUCUACAUCAGCACUACCGCAACGCCGCCACGCGGCGACACUCGAGUGUACUCCAACUUCUACAUCAACACACUCCCCAAACCCCGUCCAUGCUCCGACGAGGCGAAGCCACUUCACCGACAUGUCUUCUUCCGAUGAAGCUAUCCAUAUCUUGCCGGGCAUCGACGAGGCGAAGGCAAGACAUACCAUGUCUGACACCGACGAGGCGGACACCACCAGGCCGGGCACCGACGAGGCGAAGGCCGCCCAUCUGUCUGAGCUGACGAAGCCAGACAUCUUCAUCACCGGACAUCGACAAGUUGGAGGGAUACUCCCCGUCGAGUCGCUGCUGCGGCUCACCUGCGUCUGCAAGGCCUGGCACAGCACCAUCACCGGCGACCGGUCGUUCCAGCGCGAGCACGCCCGCCUCCAAGACCCGUGCGUGCUCAUCGCGCCGCGGAUCAAAAUCAACGACGCGGCCGGCCAUCCUCGUGCCAGCCCGGUCAAGGUCACCACGCCCGGCUUGUACCGCUGGGAGCAGGGCCAGGGCGCGGCGACCCUCGUUCAGGCCAUGGACGCCUUCUUCCCGGCCCAAGAAGCCGGCCGCAGGCACGAUCUGGCGCACUGCGACGGCCUUGUGCUGGUGGUGUCCGCGGACGACGCCGUGCGGGUGCUCAACCCGGCCACACGCCGCGCCACGCCCCUGCCCCGGGGCUACGUCACGCCGGCCGCCCUCCAUAAGUGCUUCCACGGGGCGGUAGGUCUCGGGCAUGACCCACGCUCCAACGCGUACAAGGUUGCGCGUAUCUACUACCGUUCCGUGCACAUGCCCGGGACAGGUGGCUGCCUCUACACCCUUGGGAUGGAGGUGUUCGCCAUCGGGAGAGAUAAGCAUUGGCGUCCGACGACGGCGCCACCGCCAUGCCCUGUCAUGGCGUGCCGGACAACAACCUUCUUCGAAGGCUCCUUGCUCUGGGCAAUCGACGAGUCCGUCUUGCUCACGGGGGGUGACGUAGCCGUUCGAGGCUUCCUCCGCUUCAGCUUGGAGGAUGAGACUUUCAGCGUCAUACCAGCGCCUCCUGGGUGUCCUGACCUACGAAACUCGGCGUCCAACUUGGUUGAGAUGCACGGGGAGCUGUGUCUUGCUCAUGAAGGGCCCAAAGAGGAGAGACCUUUUAGGUCGACUUGGGUAUGGGUGUGCAAUGAUCUGGAUGGGUCCAAUCUGCCACGAUGGGUUCUGCGCCAUGUCAUGAACAACGUCCCAUGCCAUAUACAGCUGAUAAACAUGUCUAAUGACCGUAUAUUUUUUCAAGGAGGAUCUUACAAUCUCAUGUGCUAUGAUAGCCAAAGCAUAGAAGGUGUUAGGCAUGUGGCUAUCAUGCAUGACUUGACAUAUCAUCAUCCAGACUCAAACACACAUGUUAAGUACCCAAGAGAAAGUGUAUAUUGCUACGACUUAAUCCCUUACGUUCCAAGCCUGGUGCCAAUCUAG
rnacentral:rRNA from 1 species